rnacentral:rRNA from 1 species
GGGAACAUACCCUUUUCUACGGAAUAGCUCUGGGAAACUGGAAUUAAUACCGUAUGCGCCCUACGGGGGAAAGAUUUAUCGGGGAAGGAUUGGCCCGCGUUGGAUUAGCUAGUUGGUGGGGUAAAGGCCUACCAAGGCGACGAUCCAUAGCUGGUCUGAGAGGAUGAUCAGCCACAUUGGGACUGAGACACGGCCCAAACUCCUACGGGAGGCAGCAGUGGGGAAUAUUGGACAAUGGGCGCAAGCCUGAUCCAGCCAUGCCGCGUGAGUGAUGAAGGCCUUAGGGUUGUAAAGCUCUUUCACCGAUGAAGAUGAUGACGGUAGUCGGAGAAGAAGCCCCGGCUAACUUCGUGCCAGCAGCCGCGGUAAUACGAAGGGGGCUAGCGUUGUUCGGAAUUACUGGGCGUAAAGCGCACGUAGGCGGAUAUUUAAGUCAGGGGUGAAAUCCCAGAGCUCAACUCUGGAACUGCCUUUGAUACUGGGUAUCUUGAGUAUGGAAGAGGUAAGUGGAAUUGCGAGU